CACCUCCCAAGUUUCAGAAUUACAGGAGUUCAUCAUCUUGCCUGGCUAAAUUUCCUACAACAUAAAUCUACAAGCAAUUAUGACUCCUGGGGAAAACAACCAUGAAUAAAGAAGGAAGAAUAGAGUUAAGGGACUGGCAAUGAGCCCCACGCCCCACCCCCUCCCCACCCCUUAAGCCUUUGUCAUAUUAUCCCAACCUGAAAAAGAAAUAAGAUGACAGAAAAUGCAAUAGCCUCUAAAACUGUACUUUCUGCUGCAGAUGAAGCAGUAACAGCUGUGGGCAGUGUCUGGGGCAGCAAAUGGACAGACAGGUACAGUGGCAGCUGUGGGCAGUGUCUGGGGCAGCAAAUGGACAGACAGGUACAGUGGCAGCUGUGGGCAGUGUCUGGGGCAGCAAAUGGACAGACAGGUACAGUGGCAGCUGUGGGCAGUGUCUGGGGCAGCAAAUGGACAGACAGGUACAGUGGCAGCUGUGGGCAGUGUCUGGGGCAGCAAAUGGACAGACAGGUACAGUGGCAGCUGUGGGCAGUGUCUGGGGCAGCAAAUGGACAGACAGGUACAGUGGCAGCUGUGGGCAGUGUCUGGGCAGCAAAUGGACAGACAGGUACAGUGGCAGCUGUGGGCAGUGUCUGGGGCAGCAAAUGGACAGACAGGUACAGUGGCAGCUGUGGGCAGUGUCUAGGGCAGCAAAUGGACAGACAGGUACAGUGGCAGCCGUGGGCAGUGUCUAGG